rnacentral:rRNA from 1 species
UUUGGCUCAGGAUGAACGCUGGCGGCGUGCCUAACACAUGCAAGUCGAACGGUGUAAUGAUUGAAGUUUUCGGACAGAUUUCAUUACAUAGUGGCGGACGGGUGAGUAACGCGUGGAGAACCUGCACUGUACUGGGGGAUAGCAGCUGGAAACGGCUGGUAAUACCGCAUGAGACCACGGGAGGGCAUCCUCCUGAGGCAAAAGAUUUAUCGGUACAGGAUGGAUCCGCGUUUGAUUAGCCAGCUGGCGGGGUAACGGCCCACCAAAGCGACGAUCAAUAGCCGGCCUGAGAGGGCGGACGGCCACAUUGGGACUGAGACACGGCCCAGACUCCUACGGGAGGCAGCAGUGGGGAAUA